rnacentral:rRNA from 1 species
UACGUAGGGGGCGAGCGUUGUCCGGAUUUAUUGGGCGUAAAGAGCUCGUAGGCGGUUUGGUAAGUCGGGUGUGAAAUCUCCACGCUCAACGUGGAGGGGCCACUCGAUACUGCCAUGACUCGAGUCCGGUAGAGGAGUGUGGAAUUCCCGGUGUAGCGGUGGAAUGCGUAGAGAUCGGGAAGAACACCCGUGGCGAAGGCGGUGUGCUGGGUUGCAACUGACGCUGAGAUGCGAAAGUGUGGGGAGCAAACGGG